rnacentral:rRNA from 1 species
CAGCCGCCGCGGGAAUACGUAGGGUGCAAGCGUUAAUCGGAAUUACUGGGCGUAAAGCGUGCGCAGGCGGUUUGUUAAGACAGAUGUGAAAUCCCCGGGCUCAACCUGGGAACUGCAUUUGUGACUGGCAAGCUAGAGUGUGGCAGAGGGGGGUGGAAUUCCGCGUGUAGCAGUGAAAUGCGUAGAUAUGCGGAGGAACACCGAUGGCGAAGGCAGCCCCCUGGGCCAACACUGACGCUCAUGCACGAAAGCGUGGGGAGCAAACAGGAUUAGAUACCCGCGUAGUCCCUGUCUCUUAUAC